rnacentral:lncRNA from 1 species
GCAGAGACUGAGCCUUUCCCGAGAAAAAAGGAAUUCUGCCUCGAGCCUGCAGCACAGAAACUCUGAGUGAGUUUCCGGAGGGCUUGGCCUGCUUUGCAGAUUUCGGACUCGAGAACAGAGGGAGCUAAAAUGAAUGAGCUGAGGUUGCUGCCGUCAUCAUCAAUGCUUCCAACGCACAAGGAUUUGAAAACCAGACACAUCACCUUUCCAUUCCACCUGAAACAUGGUUUGAACAGAGAGUAGGAGGGCACCCCUCACCUAGAAGAACAUGACCAAAGUCACACAGUGAGUCUCUGGUGGAGUAGGUGCUAGAUCUUCAGUGUUUUGAUUUUCCAUUGACUGCUCCAGACACUAAACAAUCCAGGAGUGUACCUGAGCCUUUUCGUCUGCUCCAUCUGAGAGUUAUCAGCAUUCUGUGUCAGUGCAUGGCUGCAGUGCAGAAGGUGGCAGUGCAUUCACUCUUAUUAAUAUGCUGAAAAUGUUUGCUUCCUGACAUCUGUCAUUUUGCAUAACUGUGAACACAAACUAUAGACACCAUCUGGGAUGUCAGGGCAAAGGGAAGUGUGGCUGUUUGAAAUUCCUUUCCAAUUUAAUUUCACAGUUUUAAAGAGCCCUGUUUUUCUUCCAUGAUAAUUAUAGGGAAAAUAAUUAACUAUUAUCCUCUGAGUGAUAAAAUUACUACAAAUUAAGAAACAGUUAUGAAUAUAAUUUACAAAUAAUUAUGUGAUAGGAGUAUGAAAGUGCAAGACUAAUGGAACAAAAUUAAUUAAAGCUAUUGAGAGAUAAUCUUUUCUAUUUAUUUGUUUUGGUUCCUCGAGGGCAGACUGUCCCAAAAUGACUCACAACAGCUACAAUUAUAAUUCAGAAGGAUAUCUGAAGAAUGUGCUCGCAAGUGUGUAUGGUAAAUGUGUUGGGUUUCAUUGCCAGUGGCACACAGCUAGAAGUCUCAGCAGGACCUCCAGAGAAACAGAGCUGUCUUAAUACAAAGUCCAUGUAAGAUGUUCCUGCUCCCCCAUUUGCCUUCCACUAUGAUUGUAAGUUU